GAGCCUGAUCAGCCAUGCCGCGUGCAGGAUGACGGCCCUAUGGGUUGUAAACUGCUUUUAUACGGGAAGAAACGCGCCCACGUGUGGGCGUUUGACGGUACCGUAAGAAUAAGGACCGGCUAACUCCGUGCCAGCAGCCGCGGUAAUACGGAGGGUCCGAGCGUUAUCCGGAAUCAUUGGGUUUAAAGGGUCCGUAGGCGGGCCUGUAAGUCAGGGGUGAAAGUUUGUGGCUCAACCAUAAAAUUGCCUUUGAUACUGCAGGUCUUGAGUCAUGGUGGGGUUGCCGGAACAUGUGGUGUAGCGGUGAAAUGCAUAGAUAUCACAUAGAACACCGAUCGCGAAGGCAGGUGACCAACCAUGUACUGACGCUGAUGGACGAAAGCGUGGGUAGCGAACGGGAUUAGAUACCCCGGUAGUCCACGCCGUAAACGAUGGAUACUAGCUGUGGGGACUUCGGUCUCCGUGGCCAAGCGAAAGUGAUAAGUAUCCCACCUGGGGAGUACGUUCGCAAGAAUGAAACUCAAAUG
rnacentral:rRNA from 1 species